rnacentral:misc_RNA from 1 species
AAAAAAAGAAAAAAGAAUUUAUAAGUAAAUUUGGAGAUGAGAAAUUAGAGGAUAAUGGCAAAUUCUAACAGAGAUCGUGAACUUCUAAUUCCGGUGGCUAACACCGGCGCCGGCGACGAUGGAGCCGGCGACAAGCCUUCUUCUUCAUCAUCAUCCUCCUCUUCUCACCAUCACUCCGGACGCGAGACUUUCUCUAAAGUUGUUAGGAGCUGGGCUUCUAAGAAAUUCAUGACUGGAUG